UGCUGCUGCUGAGCACAACCCGGGCAGACUGUAUACUGUAGUUCUCCGCCGUCCUCCUAAUAACUCCCAUGGAGGGAAUCAUCAGGGUGUGUCUCACUGAACUUCAGAGAGAGGACAACAUCUCCUAACAUGGAGGAGAAUGAGAGUGAAGACAGGUAUGGCCUCACAAGUCUGGAUCUACCCACCACACAUUUAUCAAACCCAGACUAGUGCCCUUUGCAGCGUGAAGAAAGUCAAAGUGGAGCCCAGCAGCUGUGUGUACCAUGAGAGAGCCCAACCGCGGACUUCUCUGAACGGCAGAACCCUUGGCAUAGCGCACCCGAUCAGACUCGCUCCCUCCUUUGCGACCCGAGACUUGGCAGUGGGCGACAGAACGCGUGGCGGCGGGCAGGAGUUCCCUGUACAGACGGUGGCCGUGCGUGGGGUACGGAGAAAGCAGAACGGAACAGGAGGAACAGGCCCGGAGGAGGCCCAGCAGCCCCAGGACACAGGGCCCGUCUCCUGGCAGGGCAAGGGGCAGGAGCAGACGGACAGAGACAGGGGAGGCAGCAGUAGUGGAGCGACAGGAGGAGGGGGAAGGGGGGAGGAAGGUAGAGGAGGAGGUAGGAAGGAAGAGACAGAAGGUGACUGGGAAGAGGGUGAUUGUGGAGGUUUGAACUUGGCCGACAGCGCUCAGCGAUGUGGGCUGAAACGUAAGAGCGAGGAGCUUGAUAACCGCGGGAGCACCAUGCAGAUAGUGGAGGACCUGUCCAUGUUGCCAGCCAUGAUGCAAACGACCAAUGGGGGGAAUCCAGCUGGGUUGCCCACGGCUGUAGGGGGCGGAGGAGGACCCCCAACCAAACAGGGAGCGGUGGGCGGAGCAGGAGGGGGUGAUGGGGACUACCAGCUGGUGCAGCACGAGGUCCUGUGCUCCAUGAAGAACACGUACGAGGUGCUGGACUUCCUGGGCCGCGGCACCUUCGGACAGGUGGUAAAGUGCUGGAAGAGGGGUACUGGGGAGGUGGUGGCGGUGAAGAUCCUGAAGAACCACCCGUCAUACGCGCGCCAGGGCCAGAUAGAGGUGGGCAUUCUAGCCCGGCUGAGCGGGGAGAACGCGGAUGAGCACAACCUGGUGCGGGCCUUCGAGUGCUUCCAGCACCGCAGCCACACAUGCCUGGUGUUUGAGAUGCUGGAGCAGAACCUCUAUGACUUCCUCAAGCAGAACAAGUUCAGCCCGCUGCCACUGAAGGUGAUCCGACCCGUGCUGCAGCAGGUGGCCACGGCCCUGAGGAAGUUGAAGACCAUGGGCCUGAUCCACGCUGACCUAAAGCCGGAGAACAUUAUGCUGGUGGACCCUGUCAGGCAGCCCUACAGGGUGAAGGUGAUAGACUUUGGCUCAGCCAGCCACGUGUCCAAGGCUGUGUGCUCCACAUACCUCCAGUCCCGGUACUACAGGGCUCCAGAGAUCAUCCUGGGCCUGCCCUUCUGUGAAGCUAUCGACAUGUGGUCCCUGGGCUGUGUGAUCGCUGAGCUCUUCCUGGGCUGGCCUCUCUACCCAGGAGCCCUGGAGUACGACCAGGUAAUGAAGUGUAUUGUUACAUUACUGUACACCCUCCUCCCACCAUGGCGUUCUGACACUGUGGCAGGCCCACAGAGACUGGGAGAAUGGGGGAAGGUGCGUCCCCAUGGCAACCAAUACAGCUCUAUGAUGCCCCACCACCAUCAGCCGUUCUUAACCAACCAGAUGACCAUGUCUGCCCACCAGCCAAUCAGCAUAGGCAUCGCACACGUGGUGUGGCCACAGCCCUCUGCAAACAAGAGAAACAAGCCCUGCUUUAACAGAGGCAGCAAUUUCACCUACAACACCAACACCCAAAACUCAGCAUGCCAGUCCCCAAAGAUGGCCGACACCACGAGGAAUGUCCCAGAGGAUAGAUUCCCAGAGGCGGGGCGAGCUGCACAGCUGGAACCUGAACCGGAGCAGGUGGAGGAGCCUAGCUGCUGUAAGGCAGGUUCAGACUCUGAAGAGCAGUCUGUCUCUUAUAAGCAGCGGCAGGCCAUGGUGAUGUCUGAUCUGGCCAGCCCCACUGUUACUGUCAUUAGUAUCAGCAGUGAUGAGGAAGAGGAGGAGGAAGAGAGAACACGGAGACACUCACUGGGGGAGUGUAAGGGCAGUGCUGAGUGUGAGGCGUGUCAGAGCACAGUGAGUAUGGAGAGAGUAUGUUCCCUCAGCAGUCCAGACAGCACCCUCAGCACCAGCUCCUCUGCCUCAGCCCAGUCCAGCACCUCACCCUGCAAACGCCCCAACAGUAUGUCAGAUGACGAGCAGGAGAGUGGUUGUGACAUUGUGGACGGCUCGCCUUCCCCCGACUCCUCUGGCCCUAGCAACAGCCCCUUCACCGAACAACGCUACAUCGCCGAUGGCAACCAGAACCGCGGGCCCCGUGUAGCGUGCGUCGCCCCGGUAACGGAGCCCAGAAAGCCGGCGGUGCGCACCAUGGUGGUGCCGCCAAUGAGGUUGCAGAAUAACAACCCCCACCCACACAUCAACGAGAUGCUAGGCAACACCAUCUUAGAGUCUUUCCAGUUCAAAGGGCGAGGUAUCCCGGGCCGUCAACCGCACCACUCCAUCCCCCUCCUCAACCGGCCACAGAAGAUCACUGCAUUCCAGCACCAGCAACAGCAGCCCAUGGGCUUUGGACAGCUCCAGCAUUACGGCUCCUGCCACCAGGAAUGGAAUGGAAACUAUGCCCACCGGCGCCCGCAGGCUUACAUCCCCCCCACUAUGCAUGGGCACUCCUUUACCCUACCCCACGGCAGCCCCAACCACACUUCAGGCCCCCGCCAUCACCCCCACGGCCAGCAUACUCUUCUGUCCUACCCCCCCCUGGGCCCCUGGUCACAGCAGCCCCUGUGGCCCACAUCCUGGCCUCCCCCGGGGCUUCACGGCCCGUCCUGCAGCCCGCCUACAGCAUCUCUCACCCGGGUGGUAUCGUCCACCAGGUCACUGUGGGCAUCAACCCCCGGCUGCUGCCCUCGCCCACUAUCCACCCCCAGGGCCAGUUCAAGGCCCUCUUCCCCCCGCAUCCCUACAUGGCCUCGCCUGCCUACGCCACCUUCCCUCUCAGCCCCACCAAACUCAACCAGUACCCCUACAUCUGACAAGGUGCCGGAGCGGCCCACCCUCCAGAUGCACCUCGCGCCCCCCGGGGGCCAAGCGAGCAGGAGGGGCCGCCUUCUCAGAAUACACAACAAACAACCACAACAUGGUUUUCAUGUCCAGAGCCAUGGCACAACCACAGAGAAACAAGCUAUUUUUAUCAAUCAUGUAGACUUGGGUGCAAUUGAAAUAUGAGCUAUAAAAAAUUUAAUCACAAAGUUUGGGUGGAGGAUGGAGAAAUGGAGGAUGAGGAGGGGGGCAAGGAAGGAAGGAAGGAUGGAAGGAUGGAAUGAUUGAAUGUAGAUAAGUAACUCACUCUCUGUGUUUUGCACAUUUAAUAUACCUUCACAUUAGCUCUUCUACCAAUACUCCUCAAAAAACAGGUGACUAAUCGGGUGGCGUUGCUAGGUCAGACCUUAUCCCAGCUAUUUUUCUAUAUUGCCUUCUGAACGUGUGCAAGACACAUCCACAUUUGUAAAGCCAUCCCAGUCUCUAGCUCGAUAGGCCGACAGGUGCACAUGUUGUCCACGGUGUGUGUCGUACCGCGUUUGAAGUAUUUGUACCUUUUCUCAGUGUCUUUGGUGUUUUAAAAAUGUGGAGUCACUUAACCGAUUUAAAGUAGGGUUGUUGCUCCUCAAGCUGCAUGUGAUCUUGCAUGAGCAGAUCAAAAUGUAAACAGGAAGUUGAUACGUUAGACGUCGCUCUUGUUGUUGGCGUCACGAGACUCGCUGCAUCGUAUACUUGUCCCCAGCCAUAGUGCCUUAUAUAUUUGAGGUGGUUGAUGUUACUACUUAUAUAUAAAUAUAUCCAUGAAUACAUUAAUGUACUGGACUGCAGCACUUGAAGGUCCUACCAGUCCAUGCAUCCUGUGUGUGGAUUUAUAUCCAUGAAUACAUUAAUGUACUGGACUGCAGCACUUGAAGGUCCUACCAGUCCAUGCAUCCUGUGUGUGGAUUUAUAUCCAUGAAUACAUUAAUGUACUGGACUGCAGCACUUGAAGGUCCUACCAGUCCAUGCAUCCUGUGUGUGGAUUUAUAUCCAUGAAUACAUUAAUGUACUGGACUGCAGCACUUGAAGGUCCUACCAGUCCAUGCAUCCUGUGUGUGGAUUUAUAUCCAUGAAUACAUUAAUGUACUGGACUGCAGCACUUGAAGGUCCUACCAGUCCAUGCAUCCUGUGUGUGGAUAUAUAUCCCUGCACAGCCUGCAUGGACGUGAGAUAUCGCUGAUAGCGGUGCUUAUGGUUUGGAUUCGGUGUAUAUUUCAGUGUGUAGUGAGUUACUCUUUUGUUCCUUAGAGAAGGACGACGUGCUUUGCUGUAGCAGAUGCUCGCUGGUCCGUUAUUAAAUGCUCCUUUUCUGUCAUCGUCCUCCCCCCUGAAUGAACUAGUGGACAAAGAGCAAGCAUUGAAUAUUUGCUUAAUAUUUCAUAAUCAAUUUCUAUUUAGUGAAACUCUUACUACUAACAGUAUUUGUACUGUUCGAUGAAACUGCAAUACAAUCUCUAAAUAGACGUUGAUUUGUAUUUUUUUGUCUUUGUAUUUAAAAAAGAGACGUGUUUGAGUUUGUUUUUCUGUUUUCUAUCUGCGUUACCAGUGUGGUGGGCUUUGACUAGCUGAGGACGACAUGCUAAUUCAUUAACAGUAUGGAUUCUUCUAAGCCUGAGCAGACCAUGCAGUAUUGGACACACACACACACACACAUACAUACACACACAUAUAUAUACAUAUACAUGAGCUAGUCUACUUAGUGCAGACGCUUAAUAAGGUGUGAGUUUGUCGCGUGCAAUUCUCUCAUUUAUGCAUGUGACAAAGUUAACUUUUUUCCCUUUACAUUAUACCAUUUGUUUAAGGUUUAUUGGUGUUGACUGCUUAUUUUCUACAUUCCGUCAGGGAGAAUAUAUAUAUAUAUAUGCUGUGUGCAUUUGUUUUUGCUAGUUAUGUGCGUUAAGUUUUUUGUCUUUUCAAAUGAAGUUGCUUGUGCAGCACCAAAGACUGUAAUUCAUUUCCUGAGCAAGGUAGCUAGAUAUAUUCUGUUUUUACACAAUAGACCUCUUAUCUAGUAUACUAUAGUCGUAGAGCUGGGGUUACAUCUCAAAAAAUGGUAUUUAAAAAUAUAUAAAAAGAUUUAUAAUACAUGGCUAUGGUUAUGUUGAGCUUUUUCCGGCGAUUUCAAUAAGCCAAGACAUUUUUGUUGAAUGUAUCAUAGAUACGCUGCUAUAUGAUCCACAGCUGUGAAAUUAGCUGAAUUAGUUCAAAACUAGCGUUCCUAUUUUUGUAUAGGUCCCUAAUGAUCUGAAAUAGAAGUGGUUUUGAUUUUUGUGGGUUUUUCUGCGUUCAUGUUUGAAGCGUCAUUGUAACUACUGUAUUGCUGAUGGACGUUAGUUGCAUUCGUUCUGGUUUUGGGGGUCUGGGUGUUUUUGCAGUAUUUUAUCCUUAUUAACCGUUUUGGGCUCGUCACUGCAUAUAAAUGGAUGUAUCGAUGUCAUUUCAUUUUUGUAUGUUUUCAUAUUGCCGUUUUGUAAACAUGUAAAACUAUAGCUUGCAAGAUUGAUUUAACUUUCUUCAUUAUGGUAGUAAUUUGAGUAUACAGUUAUAAUAGCGUCUGUUAUGUAUGGCAGGAGCACUGUGAGGUAGCAGGACACUCAAUGGAAGGCUUACAGUAUGUAACAUGUUAUCCCCAAGUCACACCACUAACAACCUGUCAGUAGUCUGCUAGUAAGGGGUUGUCGUAUUGACUCCUCAUGGUCCCGCGGGGAAUUAAACACAAAAUAUGUCUCAUUUAGCCCAAAGUGUUUGUUCCCAUUCAAUAUUUUAUCACUUUAAAUGAUUAUUUCCUUUUAAAAUAUGGAUUUUACGCAAACAUUUAUAUCUGUUCAGUAUUGUCACUGUCUGUGACAUGAGUGGUUCCCAUUUCUACAUUGGUUCCAUAUUGGAAUAAUCUGCCUUCUGUUUGUUUAGGAGGUUUCUCCAUUGUAUCGCUCUCCCCUUUAGAAGUGUCUCAUAACAGAGUGGUGUUUAUCAAUGGAAGUCUCUGGGCAUAUAUGUUCUGUACUGAUGUUCAGACAGUGUGAGCAGCACUGUGCUUGUGCCUUGAGAAUCAGAGGGUCAGCGAAAUAGGGACAGGGACGAUGUUAGUCCCUUAUACGGUAACAGUACCCCUCUCCUCUACCUGCUCUGUGUUGGAGGGGGAGGAGGGGUUGAGGAUCUAACAAAAAUCCAUCUUGCAGAAUGAAGUUAGUAAUGAGUUAGUAAUGAGUUAGUAAUGAGUUAGUAAUGAGUUAGUAAUGAGUUAGUAAAUGGCCACUUGACCAAAAAUCACCUACAGAAAAUGGAGCGUUUCACACCCGGACUGUCAUUCAACCUCUCAUACCAGGGAUUAGGAAAAUACUUGUUUGAUGAGCGUUGUCAUGACAGUAGUGUAGAAGGCAUAUGUGUUUAAUAGAUAUAGGCCAACAAAGUCUCUCACACACACACACACACACACACACUCUCACUCUCACACACUCACACACACUCACACACACCGAGAGGCUCUUUGAGUGACGUGCUGAUUUAACAGUCCUCUCGAUAGACACUCUUGUUGACCAGUAAAUGCAAUACUUUAACGUUAUGGUCUUUGUACCACCAAGUGUUCUUACAUCUCCUCCUGCCAGCUCCGAUACUGUGCAUAUACACCACCGAGUCAGCUGCACUAAUCUGUGGGGAAAUACUGACUCCAAGUCUGUCAUUUUCACCAUUGUCAAUAGACUAAACACCUUGCAACCAUGACAGUCAGAACCAGUGGAUAACACAUGGUGGACUCAUUGUCAAUAGACCAAACACCUUGCAACCAUGACAGUCAGAACCAGUGGAUAACACAUGGUGGACUCAUUGUCAAUAGACCAAACACCUUGCAACCAUGACAGUCAGAACCAGUGGAUAACACAUGGUGGACUCAUUGUCAAUAGACCAAACACCUUGCAACCAUGACAGUCAGAACCAGUGGAUAACACAUGGUGGACUCAUUGUAGGACUGAGUAGUUAAGGAGAACUCUGAACUGAGUCCAGAGGACUUCUAGACUUUAACCACAAACUGUUGCUGUUCACAAAGGGCUGAUUGACCAAACAGAGUCUGUUAAUAUAAGACGCUAGAGAAUUGCUCUGGAAUAGAUAUUUAGUUUGCGGUGUGUUAAGGAGCUCUCUGGAGAUUAUUGUGGCACCACUUGAAAUUCAUUACUCUUGAGGAGCGUAAGGUAUUACACAUUUCAACACCAAAAUAUUGCCGGACAGGUGUUUUAUCAACCAUGUUUUCAGUUUCAUGCUUUUGUUAUGACAUCUUUAAUUUAGGUAAAAAGCUGAAAUUACGACAAGGCAUGAACUUGGCAGACCUGGAGUGCUUGAUAUGUGUGUUCCAGUGAUAUAAGCAUGUUAACUGUAACUUUAUUCCUGUGUAAUGGUAUUCACCAGCAAUGCGCCUGCACAAACUCUCCCACACUUAAAAACAAAGAUGGAUACAAAGUAUGAUCCUAGACUGUUUGUAUUUCUCCAGUUAUAACUCCAUAUGACAACUACUGGACACAUGAAAGAACCGUUUCCAGAGAACUCGUACAACAUGUUUGAGAUGAAACGUAACAACAGAAGACAUAGCAGUUUGUAAAAUGAUCCGUAUGAUUCAUUGCUGAUUUUGAAGAAUCCUCUAAUCUGGUUGUGAAGAUGUUGAUUCAGGGUCUAUGUGUUCGUUCAAUGUGUUACUGUGUUACACUUCAAUAUUUACUAUUUGGUUUCCAUCAGUUCUCAACUUGUAUUCUCCUUUUUGGGCGUUCUGGUCGACUGUGUCCGUUCAAAGUUAAAUUCAUGCUGCAACUUAUAGAAUCAUCUGUUUAGAUCAUCUAAAUCAUAGACUCGUUAUAAUCUGAACUGUUACUGUUUUUAAUACUUGUACAUCUUUUUGUGGCUUUGUUUUUAUUUUAGCUUUUGUUGGUUUUAUGCCACACUAGUUUGCCAUGUAGCAAUUGCACUGUGCAAUAUUUCCAGUACGAGGACUGGGGAAAGGAAUGAUCUGGAUGUGAUGUCUCUUAACAGUUUGAUAGUGUUUCCUCUAGUUCUCAGUGAUUUAGGUGUGACCAAGCCUUUGCUACUUAGUCACGUUAAGCGGGUUUCCAGGUGACUCUUUUGGUGAGUGUCAAAAUAAGACUCUAUGGUGUAUUAUUGUCAAGAUUCACUUUGAAUUAAAAAAAAUAAUCUAUUGCUGCAAAUCCA